GGGAUCUCAAUAUCUCAGCUCAUGUAAAUUCAGUGUUGAGCUCGUAAUGUGAAUCUCGUCUGUAUGUUACAGGGACAGAAGAACACACGUGUGUUUAUCCAGUGGAGAAAGGCUCAUGAUGCUGAAUGCUGUCAUCAAAGGCUUUGAGGCUUUGUGGUGGAGCAGGACCUGCAAGGAAAGAUGAUGACUGACAGCACUUGUUGGGAAAAGAAAAGGUUUCUGGGAUUUUACUCAAAUAUAAAGCAGACUGGUGUGAGCACUGACGAUGAGGAGCCCAGAGCU